UGCAUCAAACCACGUGUCACACGCAUCCCUAUCCCCAAGCAUUUUUAAUUCCCAGAACAAAAGUCUACCUUGGAGUCUAUCCCCCUUGACCCAUUGAUCAACUAUCGAUAUUCGUCUACAUUCUGGGUCUUCAAAUACCAAGUGGCUACUUAAUUAAUUCGAUGUGUCCAACACGUUCAAGGAAAAAACACAAAAGAAAAAGCAAUUGAUCAAUAGCAUGGUCUCUCUCUCCUUAUUGCCCAACUUCCUCGUAAUAGCUACCGAGGUUUGCUGCAAACUAUGCAGUUUAUAAAUAGGGUCGAGUCAGUAGUACUUAUGCAUGGUAGCAGAAGCAAUAAAAGAAAUUAACAGUAACCCUUUUCAUGGCUUCCUUAACCACAGCUUGCCUAUUGGCACUACUACUCACUGCUUCUCUAUCUCUGCCCAUGGAGAUCACAGCAGUCCGUUUCCCAUCUCCACAACUUGGGAUUCCUAAGAAACUCUCAAUUCCAUCCCCAUCACCAUUACCCACCAUCUUUCCUCCACCUCAACCCCACCACAAAUCUCAACCACCUCCAAAAUGUGAUGAUGAAACUCCUCCUCCUCCUCCUCCUCCUCCUCCUCCUCCGCCGCCGCAUCGCUCUGGCUCAAAGAGGGCACUGCCACCGGGAACGGUGUACUAUUUGCCUCCUUUUCCAGGAAUCUGAUAAGAUCCUGGAUGAAAGCACAGGGAUGCAAAUAUAUGUGCAUGUCAAUUAUAUAAUAAGCGUUCUUAUACAAGCUAGAAUAAUGAAGGGGAAGGCGGUGGUUCUAUCUGCAAGCUGUAUACUUGCAGCUGCUGGCAUGCUGCUGUGAAAAAGUUACAAAAACACAAGUUGCGCGCAAGGGAAGAUCAGAGAAAUGAAGUACUCUAUAUGCUAAUUAUAGGCUUAUAGCUGUUGUGAAAUAAGUUACAAAAACACAUGAUACGAUUGUUGUGUAAGCAGUGAAGAAGAGAAAUAAUUUAAUAAAGACAUUGUUUUAUAUA